AAAAAAAACAAAGUGCUCAAAAGUUAAAAAGUUGAUGCAAUACGCAGAUGAUAACCUUUGUUUCAAAAAAUAUAACAAACAAACAUUCAUUUGGGCCUUUAUAUCCUUUCGUUCAAUACCUUUUAGCCCUUAGCCACGUUACAAGCCUAAUAAAGCCCACACAGAUUGAAUAAUGAUUGCUCAAAUUUUCAUAAAGCUUAACUUUGCGAUAAGGUGAUUUUCACAGUGUCGUAAAAAGGAAAAAAGAAAUAAAAAAAAAAAAAGAGAAAAAAAAAGUAAUGUCUCGGGAAGAGGGGAUCACCCUGCCACCUAACCAGAAGCAUGCAAAAGAAAAAUCAAACUAAUUUGGGGUCAUCCUUUUAACCGAUCCUUUUCAUGUCCAAUACCUCUUCCAAAUGGAACCCCUUGCCAAAGAAAAACUGGGACAACUUUGUGAGUCUCACCCGAGUUUAUCAUCAACCCAUGCCACAAUAAACAAAGAGAAAAAAAAAAAGCAAACAAAAACCGGGACAACUUUGUGAGUCUCACACAAGUUUUUCAUCAAUCCAUAACCUCAAGACUGGGGCAGCUUUGUCAAUCUCAUUUGAAAUUUUCUCGCCCUAACUUUCAUGGAUGCAAACCCCAGCUCAUUUUCCAUAACAUCAAGCUGGGGCACCCUUGGUGCAUCUCGUGUUCACCCUGACAUUCUCAUAUCACAUCUCCUUUAAGGACUAUAUGAGGAAUGACUUGUCCAUACAGUUAUCCCAUUCUCCUCUAAANCCUUAUAAACAUCUCUCAUUUCUCCACUUGCCAACAAAUUCAAGCAUGUGUGCACUGAUGUCUCGAAAGAAAAAAGUCAAAAUGUAAUAAUCUCAAAUUUAGACCUCGGAU
rnacentral:lncRNA from 1 species